AACGAACGCUGGCGGCAUGCCUAACACAUGCAAGUCGAACGUGACCUUCGGGUCUAGUGGCGCACGGGUGCGUAACGCGUGGGAAUCUGCCCUUGGGUUCGGAAUAACAGUUGGAAACGACUGCUAAUACCGGAUGAUGACGUAAGUCCAAAGAUUUAUCGCCCAAGGAUGAGCCCGCGUAGGAUUAGCUAGUUGGUGAGGUAAAGGCUCACCAAGGCGACGAUCCUUAGCUGGUCUGAGAGGAUGAUCAGCCACACUGGGACUGAGACACGGCCCAGACUCCUACGGGAGGCAGCAGUGGGGAAUAUUGGACAAUGGGCGAAAGCCUGAUCCAGCAAUGCCGCGUGAGUGAUGAAGGCCUUAGGGUUGUAAAGCUCUUUUACCCGGGAUGAUAAUGACAGUACCGGGAGAAUAAGCUCCGGCUAACUCCGUG
rnacentral:rRNA from 1 species